rfam:Caenorhabditis tropicalis strain JT1373 unplaced genomic scaffold Scaffold582, whole genome shotgun sequence.
ACCACACAUAUGGGCUUCCUUCUCAUUCCCAGCAGAAUCAGUAAUCAUGCUGGCAAGACAAGGCAGUCUACAUGUGUGGU